rnacentral:rRNA from 1 species
UACGUAGGGUGCAAGCGUUGUCCGGAAUUACUGGGCGUAAAGAGCUCGUAGGUGGUUUGUCGCGUUGUUCGUGAAAACUCACAGCUCAACUGUGGGCGUGCGGGCGAUACGGGCAGACUGGAGUACUGCAGGGGAGACUGGAAUUCCUGGUGUAGCGGUGAAAUGCGCAGAUAUCAGGAGGAACACCGGUGGCGAAGGCGGGUCUCUGGGCCGAAACUGACGCUGAGGAGCGAAAGCGUGGGGAGCGAACAGG